rnacentral:rRNA from 1 species
GGGAGCCCCAGAUGGGUACUGAGACAGCGACCCAGCCCUACGAGGCGCAGCAGGCGCGAAACCUCCGCAAUACACGAAAGUGUGACGGGGUAACCCAAAGUGUUCUCUUUAGAACUGUGGUAGGUGAGUAAUGUCCCCUACUAGAAAGGAGAGGGCAAGGCUGGUGCCAGCCGCCGCGGUAAAACCAGCUCUUCAAGUGGUCGGGAUAAUUAUUGGGCUUAAAGUGUCCGUAGCCGGUUUAGUUAGUUCCUGGUAAAAUCGGGUAGCUUAACUAUCUGCAUGCUAGGAAUACUGCUAUACUAGAGGGCGGGAGAAGUCUGAGGUACUACAGGGGUAGGGGUGAAAUCUUAUAAUCCUUGUAGGACCACCAGUGGCGAAGGCGUCAGACUGGAACGCGCCUGACGGUGAGGGACGAAAGCCAGGGGAGCGAACCGGAUUAGAUACGUCGGUGCUAGAAUAAUAAAAUAACUAACACCAUGCUAAAAACCCGGGUAGUCCUGGCCGUAAACGAUGCAUACUAGGUGAUGGUACGGCCAUGAGCCGUGUCAGUGCCGUAGGGAAACCGUUAAGUGUGCCGCCUGGG